rnacentral:rRNA from 1 species
UGGGGAAUUUUGGACAAUGGGGGAAACCCUGAUCCAGCCAUCCCGCGUGUGCGAUGAAGGCCUUCGGGUUGUAAAGCACUUUUGGCAGGAAAGAAACGUCGCGGGUUAAUACCCCGCGAAACUGACGGUACCUGCAGAAUAAGCACCGGCUAACUACGUGCCAGCAGCCGCGGUAAUACGUAGGGUGCAAGCGUUAAUCGGAAUUACUGGGCGUAAAGCGUGCGCAGGCGGUUCGGAAAGAAAGAUGUGAAAUCCCAGAGCUUAACUUUGGAACUGCAUUUUUAACUACCGGGCUAGAGUGUGUCAGAGGGAGGUGGAAUUCCGCGUGUAGCAGUGAAAUGCGUAGAUAUGCGGAGGAACACCGAUGGCGAAGGCAGCCUCCUGGGAUAACACUGACGCUCGUGCACGAAAGCGUGGGGAGCAAACAGGAUUAGAUACCCUGGUAGUCCACGCCUAAACCGAUGUCAACUCAAGCUGUUGGGGCCUUCGGGCCUUGGUAGGCGCAGCUAACGCGUGAAGUUGACCGCCUGGGGAGUACGGUCGCAAGAUUAAAACUCAAAUGAAUUGACGGGGUCGAU